GAAUAACUAGAAGACACCGUAACAACAGAAUGUGGAACUAAGAACACCACAGUAACUACAAAAUAACACAAGGAAAGCACCGCUGGAAUCCUAAUGGGCAGCCUUCACUGCUUACUACACUGAACUUUGAAUUUACCUUAGAAGCUCAUCUCUAGAGGUGCCUGUGAAGAUAUGUCCACAGAGAUCUAACUGAGGAAGAAGAUAGUCUCUGAAUGUAAGAGACACUAUACCAUGGACUGAGACCCAGAUGAAUACAAAAAGAAAGAGGAAGUCAGCUGAGCGCCAGCACUCAUCAAUCUUGGUUAUUGAACUGGUAUCACCACCACCUCUUGUUCCUACUACCAUAUCUUUCUUGUCAUGAUGAACUGGGUCUCUUCCAACUACGAACCAAAAUGAAUCCUUUCUACCUUGAAUUACUUCUGCCAGGUAUUCAGUUAUGGCAAUGAAAGGAUGAACGAUUAUAUAAAGUUUGUACCACGGAGAAGGGCUGUUGCUGAGAGAUGGAUACAUAUCUCAUUUGUGAAAUAAAGCUGCUGAGUACAGCAUGGACCAGUAAUACCACCUUCACCUGGGAGCUUGUUAAAAUAAAACCGUGAUGCAACAGUAAGAAGUCCCCAAGAAUCCCUACUUUAACAAGUUCUCCAGGUAACCCUCAUGCACGCCAAGGUGAAGAAAUGCUCUCCUAAUAGGGAGGUUUGCAACUUUUUUUUGCACAUUGGGAUCAUAUGAAGAACUUAAAAUCUUGAACCCCAACUAAAGUAUUCGUAUUUGAUUGAUAUGUGGACAGCCAUCACCAUGGUUGUGAAUUAAUACACCAAAAUCCAUUUGGAGUAUUUGAUUUGGCUCCUUUUAAGAAAUAAAAUAAUUAAAAGUAAA